GAUCCAUCCUUUGUAGUAGAAUCAGCCUUAACUCAGUCGCGAUCUGCUCGGAUAAACUGUCUUUCCUCCUCAACUGCGUCAACCCCAGGAAUCAAAUUUUCUGCUCCUUCUACCCUGUGGCGACCACCUGAUACAGGGGUACUCAAAGUCAAUAUCGAUGGGGCUUUUCACGUUGCUGACUCCAGAGGCGCAAUAGCUAUUAUUUGCAGAAAUCAUUUGGGUAAAAUGGUUGAUGGGUAUACCUCUCGAGUUGCUGCUGCUUCAGCGUUGCAGGUUGAAAUCUCUGCUCUUGUAUCCGCGCUGCACCAUCUCCGUCGACUCGGCAAAACCGACGCUCCCUUAAUCUUGGAAUCUGACUGCCUUGCCAUGAUCAACGCUGUUGAAGAUCCUCGGAAGACUCCAUGGGCGCUUCGACCCUUGUUUGACGAAGUGAAUGAUCUCCUCUGCUGUUUCUCUCGACUGCAGUUAGGGUUUGUCCCUCGUACGGCCAACGCUGUCGCCGAUUGGGCUGCCAAGGCCCAAUUGGGCGGUACCUUAUCUUCCUCUUGGCUCGCUUUUCCCCCUCCUUUAUUAUUAGAUCUUCUUAUUUCGGAUGUAAUGGAUGCUGGUGGUAAUGUUUCUAUAAAUUAGUUAUCGUUUCCGUCCAAAAAAAA
rnacentral:lncRNA from 1 species